CCUACGGGUGGCAGCAGUCGAGAAUCAUUCACAAUGGGGGAAACCCUGAUGGUGCGACGCCGCGUGGGGGAAUGAAGGCCUUCGGAUUGUAAACACCUGUCAUGUGGGGGCAAAUUAAAAAGAUAGUACCACAAGAGGAAGAGACGGCUAACUCUGUGCCAGCCGCCGCGGUAAUACAGAGGGUUCAAGCGUUGUUCGGAAUCACUGGGCGUAAAGCGUGCGUAGGCUGUUUAGUAAGUCGUGUGUGAAAGGUGCGGGCUCAACCCGCGGACUGCACCUGAUACUGCGAGACUAGAGUAAUGUAGGGGGAACCGGAAUUCUCGGUGUAGCAGUGAAAUGCGUAGAGAUCGGGAGGAACACUCGUGGCGAAGGCGGGUUCCUGGAC
rnacentral:rRNA from 1 species